CUGGCUCAGAUUGAACGCUGGCGGCAGGCCUAACACAUGCAAGUCGAACGGUAACAUNGACGAGCUUGCUCGAAGAUGACGAGUGGCGGACGGGUGAGUAAUGCUUGGGAACUUGCCUUUGCGAGGGGGAUAACAGUUGGAAACGACUGCUAAUACCGCAUAAUGUCUUCGGACCAAACGGGGCUUAGGCUCCGGCGCAAAGAGAGGCCCAAGUGAGAUUAGCUAGUUGGUAAGGUAACGGCUUACCAAGGCGACGAUCUCUAGCUGUUCUGAGAGGAAGAUCAGCCACACUGGGACUGAGACACGGCCCAGACUCCUACGGGAGGCAGCAGUGGGGAAUAUUGCACAAUGGGGGAAACCCUGAUGCAGCCAUGCCGCGUGUGUGAAGAAGGCCUUCGGGUUGUAAAGCACUUUCAGUUGUGAGGAAAAGUUAGUAGUUAAUACCUGCUAGCCGUGACGUUAACAACAGAAGAAGCACCGGCUAACUCCGUGCCAGCAGCCGCGGUAAUACGGAGGGUGCGAGCGUUAAUCGGAAUUACUGGGCGUAAAGCGCACGCAGGCGGUUUGUUAAGCUAGAUGUGAAAGCCCCGGGCUCAACCUGGGAUGGUCAUUUAGAACUGGCAGACUAGAGUCUUGGAGAGGGGAGUGGAAUUCCAGGUGUAGCGGUGAAAUGCGUAGAUAUCUGGAGGAACAUCAGUGGCGAAGGCGACUCCCUGGCCAAAGACUGACGCUCAUGUGCGAAAGUGUGGGUAGCGAACAGGAUUAGAUACCCUGGUAGUCCACACCGUAAACGCUGUCUACUAGCUGUGUGUGUCUUUAAGACGUGCGUAGCGAAGCUAACGCGCUAAGUAGACCGCCUGG
rnacentral:rRNA from 1 species